CCAGAGUUUUACCCUCGCGUCGUCCGAGCCCGAGGCUAUGAGGCGCGUGUCCACGUCGUUGAAGUCGACGGACCAGCAUCGUUUCUCGUGCUCCUGGAAGGCCUUCGUCCUCUGACCGGUACCGGCGUCCCAAACGGUCACCGUCCCCUCGUAGUCCGAGGAGGCCAGGAGACCCUUGUGGUAGGAGUUCCACGAUAUGCAGGAUAUCUUCGAGCUGGAUACCAUCUCGACGCAGGGGUAGUGGAUGUCGACGGCGUCGCGUAUCACCGCACCGUAAUCGAACACCUUUAUCCUCUUGGUGACACCGGCGAUGGCGAAGAAAUCGCUGUCCUUGUCGAACUCUAUGCUCGACACUAUCGUCGAACUGUUGAAUAUGUCCGACGAGUAGUUGAGCGUGGCCAGUUGGCGGAGGGAGCUGUACCUCGAGAACUUUAUCAGGUUCUCCCUGAACACCGUCAGCCCGGAGGACGAGGAGUGGGCGGCGUCCGUCUGCCGCUGCGCCUUGUCGCGGCCGAAGUGGAGCUCCUUCGCCCUCGAGUCGAAGUAACACUUGACGAAAUCGUCGAAGUGAGCGUGCAUCCGUUUUCUCCUGGAGGCGAGGGUGGAGCCCGACGAGGAGUUGGCGACGGGGGCGCGAGGACCGACGGAAAAGCCCUCGGCGCCGUCGUCGGGCUCGUCGGGCCCGACGAUCGUGGAGUCGAUCAUACCGAGGAGGUUUAUCAUGUCCUUCUUGAUGGCUGACACCUGCGCGGUGUCGUUCUCCAUCGACAGAUUGAGGUCCUCCACCUUGGGACACUUGCUCUGUAUACGUUUGAGGAUACCUUCGACCUCGGUCAUGUCGCGUUUUAUCAGCGCCACCUCUUUGUUCAGCUGGUUGCGCUGUUCCUCCUUACGGCGGAGCAAGUGUUUCAGAAACUCGUGAAGGAGUUUGUUCUGCGAGGCGCACGACUCGGCCUCCAGGAGUAGUUUCUUCUGGUUGAGUACGCCCAGCAUCACGUUUACGUCGGAUAGCGUCAGAUUGGCGCUCUCGGCCGCCACGAAAUCCCUGAGACCGUCGUUCGAAGGGGCGAGAGCGGCGCCCGACGCGGCCCCCGAACCCUCCUCGGCGUCGAUCGUCCCCCAGGCGUCCCCGCGGCCCCGUCGGAGCUCGGCGAUCCCCCUCAUCCUCGUCUUGUACUUGGCCACCAGUUCGUUCAGCAGGAAAUUCGGGAAUACGUCCUGCUGACCGAGGGCGAACGUGCACUUCGGGCAACGCGAGUUCACCUCCAACGAUCUCACUAUGCAACGGUAGCAGAACGUGUGACCGCAACGGGUGAUGUGAGCCUCGUCGAUCACCUCGAAGCAUAUGGGGCACAGGUAGUCGUUGCUCUUGUCCUCCAGGGUGCCGCCUAUGCCGUGAAGGACGUUCGACGAGUUGAGCGGUCGCUUGAGCGUCGCUCGGUUUCCGCCCCGGUUCGGCGGAAAGGAACCGUCGUCGAGACCUCGCUGUCCACCGAACCCCGACGCCAUUCUCGGAGCGCGAUUGUUGUCGUCAGGUGGGGCGGAACGCGGACCCCGAGAUCUUCGACCGCGUUGUUAUCGAAUAUCGGUCGGGUCGCACGAUCGUCACGCAGAGCGUAAGGUUUCCUCAGCGGGAGCCUGCUUCCGGGACGGUUCCC
rnacentral:misc_RNA from 1 species